rnacentral:rRNA from 1 species
UACAGAGGGUGCAAGCGUUGUUCGGAAUUAUUGGGCGUAAAGGGCGCGUAGGCGGCUGGGCAAGUCAAAGGUGAAAUCCCUCGGCUCAACUGAGGAACUGCCUUUGAAACUGCCUGGCUUGAGGCCGGGAGGGGGUAGCGGAAUUCCCAGUGUAGCGGUGAAAUGCGUAGAUAUUGGGAGGAACACCCGUGGCGAAGGCGGCAUGCUGGGUUGCGACUGACGCUGAGUUGCGAAAGUGUGGGGAGCAAACGGG